UUCCAUAAACCCUUUCUUUACACUAUAAAUACCAAAACAAACAAAUCAAUUUGAAAUCUGUUUAUUCAUUCGUUAGGUCAUACAUACAUACAUACAUACCUGAUUUGUUUCGAUUGGCAUGAUUCUUCGUUUCCUGCGAGUGAAUCAGAAGUCAAAAAGAAGAAAACAUGGGGCACAGUUCCAAGAAGAAGAAGAAGCGUGCCGGAACAGGGCGGCGUAGGCCACCGUCCGAUCACACUUCCAUCGACGGCGUUGGCGGCGAGCUUCUCUCCGAUGAGCUUACGGCACUGUGUGCUAUAUUACAAGAAGACUAUGAUGUUGUUUCAGAAUCUCCACCCCAAAUCAAGAUUAAGCUAAGACCGUACUCACAAGAUUCAGGCUACGAGGAUGUGGAUGUUUCUGCUUUUCUUUCAAUAAGGUUUUUACCUGGAUACCCUUACAAGUAUCCGAAGCUUACAAUAAUUCCAGAAAAAGGGUUAUCAAAAUCUGAUGCAGAUAAUCUUUUGUCCUUGCUUCAUGACCAAGCCAAUUUAAACGCACGAGAAGGACGCGUGAUGAUUUAUAACUUGGUAGAGGCCGCACAAGAAUUCUUGUCUGAAGUUGUCACAAUAGACCAACCACAUUUAUCUCGAAAGAAUGCUACAGUUUCAUGUGACAGGCCUUCAAAGGGGCCUUUCGUAUAUGGUUUUCUCGAUCUUUUUAUAGGCUCUGGGGAGUCGUGGCACUGGGGACUUUCAGUUGAAGAGAGCAACAGCACAAUCGUUGCCUUAGAUAACCUGAACAACGGUGCUCAGCCUUCAUGGGAAAAAGUCAACCCAACCUUGAAGAUGGGGGUGAUUGAGGGUGGUCAACUAAAAGUCAAAUCUACUGAAAGACUUGAUAUUCUGGAAGAAGAUGAUAGUAAGAGUACUGAUUCUCUUGCAUCACAAUCUGCAGAACCAGUGGAGAAUGUUAGCGUUGGUGAGGAUUAUCCUCUAGCAGAGGAUACAGAAGAAGAAACUGAUUACGACGAGACUGAAAGUGAUAUAUUAGAAUCAGCAUCAUCUGUGGAUCACCAUCAAAUUUCACAUACUGUUGAGAGAGAUUUGAUUCUGGCUCAUUUACUGCGACUUGCUUGUGCUCCUAAAGGUCCACUUGCUGAUGCCUUAACCGAUGUAACAUCGGAGUUGGUUAACCUAGGGAUUGUUUCAGACCGGGUGGCAGAUUUAGCUACGGGUUCAUCAUCACUUUUUGACAGAAGCUUUAACCAAGCCUUUGGAAAUCGUAUGGUAGCCUCAAAGAUAUCGAAUUUUUGGAAAACUGCCGCUGAUUCCAAAGGGCAGCAUACCUCACCUACAUUAAGCUCACGGUAUUUGAAUGAUUUUGAGGAGCUUCAACCCAUUGGCCAUGGUGGAUUUGGUCAUGUAGUGCUAUGCAAGAAUAAGCUGGACGGAAGACAGUAUGCUGUUAAGAAGAUUCGACUAAAGGACAAAAGUCAACCUUUAGAUGACAGAAUUUUGAGAGAAGUAGCCACUCUUUCCCGAUUGCAGCACCAACAUGUUGUACGUUACUAUCAGGCAUGGUUUGAAACAGGAGAUGCUGGUUUUUAUGAUGAUGCCACCUGGGGUUCCAGGACUGCAGCUAGUUCUAGUUACAGUUAUAUAGAUCAUACUUCAACUGAUGUCAUAGGGCAAGACAACAAAGUCGGAACAUAUCUCUAUAUUCAAAUGGAAUACUGCCCAAGGACUCUUCGGCAAAUGUUUGAAUCUUAUAGUCAUUUUGAUAAGAAGGAUGCAUGGCACUUGUUUCGUCAAAUUGUAGAAGGCCUGGCCCACAUACAUAGUCAAGGAAUUAUUCACCGUGACUUGACUCCAAAUAAUAUUUUUUUUGAUGCUCGCAGUGAUAUUAAAAUUGGGGAUUUUGGUCUUGCUAAGUUCUUGAAGCUGGAGCAGUUGGAUCAGGAUGUCGAUCCUGCUGAAACAACUGGAGUGUCGGUUGAUGGUACUGGUCAGAUUGGUACUUAUUUUUAUACUGCACCAGAAAUCGAGCAACGAUGGCCGAAAAUUAACGAGAAAGCUGAUAUGUAUAGCUUAGGGAUUGUAUUUUUUGAGCUCUGGCAUCCGUUUAGCACUGGAAUGGAAAGACACAUUGUUCUUUCUGACUUAAAAAAGAAGGGCGAACUUCCAUCAGAUUGGGUUGCUGAGUUCCCUGAACAGGCGGCUUUAUUGCGCCGCAUGAUGUCAUCAAGCCCAUCGGACCGCCCCUCCGCCAAUGAACUCCUUCAACAUGCUUGUCCUCCAAGAAUGGAAUCUGAGUUGCUAGACAAUAUUUUACGAACAAUGCAUAAUUCUGAGGACACUAGCAUUUAUGAUAAAGUUGUGAAUGCUAUUUUCAGUGAAGAGAUAUUGAGCACUAAAAUCCAAGAUAACGAUACGGAAACACUGAAAUUAGGUCGAAAUGUUACCUCAUCUAUACAACAUACAGAUUUAGACACUGAAAUUCGUGAUCUGGUUUCGGAGGUAUCUGCUGCAGUGUUUAGGUUACAUUGUGCAAAGCAUUUGGAAACAAUUCCAAUGCGUUUGCUAGGAGAUUCUGUACAGUUUAACAGGAAUAACGUUAAGCUUUUGACAAACGGUGGAGACAUGCUAGAACUCUGCCAUGAGCUACGUUUGCCCUUUAUAAAUUGGGUUGUUUUAAACCAGAAAUCUACUUUCAAACGAUUCGAAAUUGGUUAUGUAUAUCGUAGAUCAAUUGGUCAUUCCCCACCAAAUCGAUAUCUCCAGGGUGACUUUGAUGUUAUUGGAGGCGAUUCUGCAAUCACAGAGGCCGAGGUUAUCAAGGCUACAAUGGACAUUAUAACCCGUUUUUUCCAUCCGGAAUCAUGUGACAUACAUCUGAAUCACGGGGAUUUAUUAGAAGCAAUUUGGUCAUGGAUUGGGAUUAAAGCAGACCAUAGACAAAAAGUAGCAGAACUUUUGUCUCUCUUGGGCUCCUUGCGCCCCCAGUCCACUGAAAGGAAAACAAAGUGGGUGGUAAUAAGACGGCAACUUAGACAGGAACUUAAUAUCACAGAAGGCGCUGUCAAUAAGUUGCAGACGGUGGGUUUACGGUUUUGUGGAAGUGCGGAUCACGCCCUCCCUAGAUUGAGAGGUGCACUUCCCUCUGUGCAGAUACACUUACACGAAAGGCGCUUGAUGAACUUUCUCAGCUAUUUAAUUAUUUACGGAUCUGGAAAAUUGAUAAACAUGUUUUCAUUGAUCCUCUUAUGCCACCCACCGAGGGUUAUCACCGGGACUCGUUUUUCCAGAUUUAUCUAAGGAAGGAUAAUACUCUCGGUUCACAUACAGAAGGGACAUUGCUUGCCGUUGGUGGUCGUUAUGAUUAUCUCCUUCACCGUAUGUGGCAAUCGGAAUAUAAAUCAAAUCCUCCAGGAGCAGUUGGGACCAGUCUUGCUUUAGAAACCAUUAUUCACCAUUCUUCUGUUGAUGUUUACAGACCCUUUAGAAAUGAUUCCAGCAGAAGUGUUCUUGUUUGUUCAAGAGGGGGAGGGGGUUUACUAGAAAAGCGAAUGGAGCUAGUUACCGAAUUGAGGGAGGACGAUAUCAAGGCAGAGUUUGUUCCAACUUUGGAUCCAAGCCUCACGGAACAAUACGAGUACGCAAACGAGAAUGACAUUAAAUGUCUGAUUAUCAUUUCCGACACCGGUGUUUCUCAAAAUGGAUCUGUCAAGAUUCGUCAUCUUGAGCUUAAGAAGGAGAAGGAAGUAAGCCGAGAAUCGCUGGCCAAUUUUUUAUCAGACGCAAUGGCGUCUCAGUUUAGAAACCCAUCUAUAUGGAACUAGAUGCAGAAGAUUAUAUUUUUUUACACCAAAUUUCAUAAAUGUAACCUUUUAACUCAUUCAUCAGUUAGUUUUUACAAGUUUUAAGAUGUGUACAAAGUUGAGACAGUUACUCUUUGGAUAUUUUCGGGACCGGGACGGUAUCAGGACGGGUUUGGGAUUUGCUCAUCCCUAGUUAAUGACUUCUGAGAUAUUAUUAAGUCUUCAUUACAAA